AGGUGGAGUGGCCGGCUGCUGCUGUCCAGGACACUGCUGUGCUUACCCAGAGUGCUCCAGAUAGUCCCUGGCCCCUUACUGAGAGAGUUUUGGUGCUCUGGGUUUGUACAGAACUUGCCCUUACUUAAAAAAAAUCACCUUCAUAAACAGAUUGCUACACUCAUACUUCUUAUUUAUGGCCACAGGGGAGAUCAACUUCAGGAGGUAAGGUAAGGUAAGGUAAGGCAAGGUAAGGUUAGUUAAGGUAAGGAAUGGAGGUUGAGAAUGCUUGAUAAGGUAGAGUAAGGUGAGGAAGGGUUGAUUUAGGUGAGGUAAGGUAAGGUAUGGUAUGGUAUUGCAGGGUAGGGUACGGUAAGGUAAGGUAAGGUAAGGUUAGUUAAGGUAAGGAAUGGAGGUUGAGAAUGCUUGAUAAGGUAGAGUAAGGUAAGGAAGGGUUGAUUUAGGUGAGGUAAGGUAAGGUAUGGUAUGGUAUUGCAGGGUAGGGUAAGGUAAGGGAAAGUAAGGUAAUGUGACAUACAGGAAGGUAUGGUAAGGUAAGGUAAGGUAAGGUAGGGCAAGGUAAGGUAAGGUAAGGUAAGGUAAGGUAAAGCAAGGCAGGGUCAGGUCAGGUAAGGUAAGGUAUGGAAAAACUAAGGAAAGUUAAGGUGUGGUAAGGCAAAGUUAGAUAAUGUAAACCAAUAUAAAAUUAGAAGUAGGGUAAGGUAAGGUAAGGUAAGGUAAGGUAAGGUAAGG